GUAGGUGGCAAGCGUUGUCCGGAAUUAUUGGGCGUAAAGCGCGCGCAGGCGGUUCUUUAAGUCUGAUGUGAAAGCCCACGGCUCAACCGUGGAGGGUCAUUGGAAACUGGAGAACUUGAGUACAGAAGAGGAAAGCGGAAUUCCACGUGUAGCGGUGAAAUGCGUAGAGAUGUGGAGGAACACCAGUGGCGAAGGCGGCUUUCUGGUCUGUAACUGACGCUGAGGCGCGAAAGCGUGGGGGAGCAAACAGUAUUAGAUACCCUGGUAGUCCACGCCGUAAACGAUGAGUGCUAAGUGUUAGGGGGUUUCCGCCCCUUAGUGCUGCAGCUAACGCAUUAAGCACUCCGCCUGGGAGUACGGCCGCAAGGCUG
rnacentral:rRNA from 1 species